rnacentral:tRNA from 1 species
GCCGCCGUAGUUCAAUGGCAGAACGUGUGACUUCUAAUCCCAAGGUUGCGGGUUCGCCCCCCGCCGGUGGUU